rnacentral:rRNA from 1 species
CCUACGGGUGGCAGCAGUGGGGAAUAUUGGACAAUGGGGGGAACCCUGAUCCAGCGACGCCGCGUGAGUGAAGAAGGAUUUCGGUAUGUAAAGCACUAUCAGCAGGGAAGAAAAUGACGGUACCUGACUAAGAAGCACCUGCUAACUACGUGCCAGCAGCCGCGGUAAUACGUAGGGGGCAAGCGUUAUCCGGAUUUACUGGGUGUAAAGGGAGCGGAGACGGUGCAGCAAGUCUGAUGUGAAAGGUCCGGGCCCAACCCCGGGACUGCAUUGGAAACUGUUGGACUGGAGUACAGGAGAGGGAGGUGGAAUUCCUAGUGUAGCGGUGAAAUGCGUAGAGAUUAGGAGGAACACCAGUGGCGAAGGCGGCUUCCUGGACGGUAACUGACGUUGAGGCUCGAAAGCGUGGGGAGCAAACAGGAUUAGAUACCCUUGUAGUC